UACGGGGGGGGCAAGCGUUGUUCGGAAUUACUGGGCGUAAAGCGCGCGCAGGCGGCUAUCCAAGUCAGUGGUGAAAGCCCGGAGCUCAACUCCGGAACUGCCUUUGAUACUGGGGAUCUUGAGUCCGGAAGAGGUGAGUGGAACUCCGAGUGUAGAGGUGAAAUUCGUAGAUAUUGGGAAGAACACCAGUGGCGAAGGCGGCUAACUGGUCCAGAUCUGACGCUGAGGUGCGAAAGCGUGGGGAGCAAACAGG
rnacentral:rRNA from 1 species